CCGUUUCUACUGGGCAGGGAGAGGCGGGAGCAUAGUCACUUGGUACUGGAGCGGAAGGUAAUCAGGUCGCAUUGGCCUCAGGUCAGAUGAUCCUCAAGACAGAUCGGCCUGAGUGUAAAUAAGCCUCAGGACGUUUGGUUCUCGAAACACUUGGUACUCAAACCACUUGGUCUCUAAAAUGUCUCAGAGUGAUUGGUAAUUAGGGAAAAGUGUACCAAGUGGGAGUCAAACGGUUAAACAUCAAUUAUACAGCUUUGUGACUCGUCUCUGAUCGCCGCCACACACACACACACACUCAGGGCGGUGAAGCGGGUGGAAGUGCAUUGUUAUUACCUCCAUACGCCACGGUAUGCUUACCGCCCCUCCAAGCCUUGCCCCUCCAAGCCUUGGCCCUAGACUCGGGUGUGUAGGAGGAAGAGGAGGAGGCGGGGCAAGGAGGAGUAUGGGUACCAUUCGCCCCAGUACCAAGUGACUGCAAACCAAGAGAGCCGGGGUUGGUGGCGCGGCCCUGUAAUCCGGCGACGCGGAGGCUUGGCCCAGUGGACGGCUUGAGGCGAGGGUGGCUGCUGCGGGACUCGCCAUGUUGAGUGGGCGUCCGCACUAAGCUCGGCAUCAAUAUGGCCGCCCCUGGGGAGCCGGGGGCGUCCAGGUUGCCUAAGGAGGUGUGAACCAGGCCAGGGGGGAAACCCAGCAGCCAAAAGCACCCGUGUGGAGCAGCAGUGGGAUCGCGGCCGUGAGUGGGCGGCGCGCAGUAGCCUUGCCAACACAGGCGAACCUGGUACUUUUAUUUUAUUCUUCUCAU